AAAAAACCUACUGCCAGGGUUGAGCUCAUGGUUAUGAUCAAGAAUGAGUCGACACAACAGAUAUGGAGAAACCAGCAACAAAGGCAUAGAAGUUUAAGAACUUUUGAGCUUCUUCCCUCGUAGCAAAAUGCAUCCCUAUUUCAGGUUUCAGCUCACUAUCAAUUGUUCUAUCGUUCCCUCCUUCUGCGGCCCGUCUUUCAUUUUCCAAAAAAUCUUCUAUUGUUUCUUCAUUGAUUUCAUUAUCUUCAUUCUCGUUGUCUUGCACUUGCAGAUGGCAUGCAUCAGUUGAUGUUCCUACCUCUCGAGACUGUCUGGAGGAACCAGCUUGCACACAUGUCGGCGAAUCAAGAUUCCAGAAUCUGCUAUGCUUUCUUUCUUCAGAUUUGUCCAUGCUUUCAGUUUUUUUUAAUGCGACGAGGAGGCAUAUUUAGCCGAUGGACGUAGAUGGAACCGGCAGCAAGAGCAGUAAGCCUUUCUAAAUGAUUUGAAAUUAAGUACAUUCUGUCUUCACUGAUAAGUACACUAUCAAGGACCCAGUAAGCCUUUCUCUAGUCAUUUUUUGUCAUUUUUAUGUCAUUUUCAUCAGUCUCUAUUAGAAGUAAUUUCACAUGUGGUUUUUUGUAAAGGAAUGCAAAGUCAUGAACUGUCAAAUGUUCUUUCACUAAGUUUUUGAGUUAUCUACUUCCCCUAGGGAAAAUCUGCCACUAGUACUAGUAGCUUACACAUGGACUGUCUUCUUUUCUUCAGUCUAGUUUCUGAGUUAUUUUGCAUGUCCUAGGUAAAAUCUGCCACUAGUAACAGGGGGGUGUUGGGGCGAAGGGCAUCAGCCAAGAUAUCUAAGUUGAUCCCCUAACCUCAGCCAAGAUAUCUAAGUUAAUAUGACACAGAGCACCUGUCUUCUCUGAAUUUUCAGUUUUUAUUCACGGCUUGAAAGAUUCUUCAGUAAGGGAAUGUAUGCAACUAGUGAGCUGGGUUGGGGCGA